UGUUAUCCUCCAAUAUGAAUACCGCAGCAGUUCUGCAUUUGCUUAAUAUUUGCUUAAAAUCAUUAUCUAUUUCAGUCUUCCAAUCGAGAAUAUCGAAGAGGCAUCACAAUAUAAGUAUAUCAGGUUUAUACAGUGUUUAUUCUUAUGCCUCUGGUUGUUGUGUAGGAUAUUGGUAAAGGUACUACGGUACAGAAAGAAGCGAGUGUGUUUGCCUCAAGAUGUCUAACUAAAAGAGAACAGAAUCUGCAAUUAUUGAGAUGUUGCCGUGCCUUCGCCAAGACUCGAACCCUGGCAUCCAAUAUCGAAUACGCAUCCAGUAUGCUUCCAGUUACACCACGAAGGCAUGCCGAAAGAAGGUAGAAAAUUAUCUUAAAACGUUUUCCUUUCAAAGCCUACUUCGCAGCAGGAGCUAUUAUAAGUGUCCCUGAGUUGCCUUCAAAUCGAGGGAGAGGAUAAGAAGGAAGCUGCAAGAGAUGUUGGGCUUAAUGCCUUAUUCUAGAUGAUCCUAACUUCUACAGUAUUGGAAAUAAUUAUAAAUGCAAAAAAUUCUUAUUGUUAGAAAUUAUUGGUUAUUGUAUCUGAGCCACAGCUGCUCUUAAUUUUGUAAACUUUAAUGAUAUUAAAUGUGUAGC
rnacentral:lncRNA from 1 species